UCAAGAAGGAAGUUUGGAUUGGUUUAAAUGAUAAAGAAACUGAGGGUUCCUGGAAAUGGGUUGAUGGAACCUCCCUGGAGUUCAAGAACUAGCAUGACUCUCAGCCUGAUAAUGGUGGGACAAGUGGAAGAUGGGGCGAGGAGGACUGUGCACAUGUCAAUAACAACGACAAAGCGUCUUGGAAUGAUUUUUCAUGUGAUGGUGAUAAACACUGGAUCUGUGAAAAAGUGCUGAAAUUGGGUGUUUGAAAAAAAAGGUCUCUAAAUAUAAUGUUUUAUAUUUUAUUCUUGAGUUUUAAGUAUUCCAUCUCUAAAAACAAAGCUUUUAUAAAGUGCUUUAAUAGUCCUGCUUCUAGUUACAACGAUUUUAAAUAUUACAAUAAACUCUAUUUUCUGCU